rnacentral:rRNA from 1 species
AUACGUAGGGGGCGAGCGUUGUCCGGAAUGACUGGGCGUAAAGGGCGUGUAGGCGGCGGUGUAAGUCUGGAGUGAAAGUCCCGCAUUCAAUGUGGGAAUUGCUUUGGAUACUGCCGCGCUUGAGUGCAGGAGAGGUUAUCGGAAUUCCCGGUGUAGCGGUGAAAUGCGUAGAGAUCGGGAGGAACACCAGUGGCGAAGGCGGGUAACUGGACUGCAACUGACGCUGAGGCGCGAAAGUGUGGGGAGCAAACAGGAUUAGAUACCCUGGUAGUCCACACUGUAAACGAUGAAUGCUAGGUGUAAGAGGUAUCGACCCCUUUUGUGCCGGAGUCAACACAAUAAGCAUUCCGCCUGGGGAGUACGGCCGCAAGGUUGAAACUCAAAUGAAUUGACGGGG